GACCUGUCACACCUGGGGAACAGGAAUAGCACUCCUUUCUCGCAUAAGGUGACAUGAGAAUAAAUCUGUGUCUAAGGUGAGCUAAUGAGAUGUAUAAAUCUCUCUUAGUGGUUACCUGUUAAGAAGAAUACAGCUACUCAAAAUGUUUCUGUUGAGACUUGUAUGCAUUGCUUAUACUUUUCUCUUGUAGACCAUGCUUCCUCUGUGCUUGCUUCUUCCUGCUACCUGCAUGGAGGCAGCAGUGUGCUUGGGCACUUCCCCUUCAGCGUGGUGCCUGCCUCCUUCCAUGUGCCAGAAGAACAAGGCUGUGUGCCCUGCAGAGGAUGAUCACCUGCUAAUAAGAAAAAAGUAUCUCCUUUCCCAAGAACCGUAUCCACGUUACUGAAGACUGAGGUGAGCCAAGAAUCAUCAGUGUGUCA
rnacentral:lncRNA from 1 species